CAUGGGUUAGUCGAUCCUAA
rnacentral:snRNA from 1 species